rnacentral:lncRNA from 1 species
GCCUGACCACAGACUUGAAAGCUAUAACCUACAUCAUGAAAUGAUGUAGCGCCAAAGAUAGUCAAUACGUUGAAUGUACUGGUAUACAAAACCAUUUAAGGAGGGUAGUAUAUCCAGAGAUUAGAAAUGAUAAUAAAAUUCAAAUGUAAGUGAAGACAACUGGAAUGGAACAAGAAUAUAAACUAAAUUAAUAAUUGACCAAAUAAGGUAGAUUUAGAUACUUUGAUUAUUUGUGGGAGAAAGUAGUGAACCGUCAUAAACCACCAUGUGAGCUCAUAGAGUCUGAUCUCGACCCGAUCAGCUAAGUCAUACUAUACCUUGUCGGGCAUAGGUCAUGACAUAACAUAAUUUGCUAGCAAGUAUCCAUGGUUAGCCCAUUUUCAAGUCACAUAAAAAAAAGAGUCAUCCGAUUUGCGAAAUAAUCUCUAUCCUAUGUCGGCAAACAUAGUUUCGGGCAUUUAUCGUUUAGACCUAUGCCUUCACGGUCAUCUAACUAACUCCCUUAGCUCAUAAUGUUGUCUUAUUAUCUUCUUAGUUCUUGAUAAAAAAUGUUAGUGUUAUUAGUCUCAUGUUCAUAGUUUACCCUUUUUAGGCUCAUGCUCAUAGUUUUGCGAUUUUAGGCUCAUUUUCAUAUUUUAGCCUUCUUUUGGCUCAUGGUCAUGUUAUCCCAUUUAAGGGCUCAAUUAAGAGUUAACCAUAAUAGGUUCAUAAAUCAUGGAUAAAAAUCCCAAAUGGAGAGCAUAAUAGGUAAUUUCAUGGUUCGAUAUGAUAUAAUUCAUGUGCAUGAUUGGAAGCAUUCUUGUAAAAAUAUUUGUAUUAAUAUUAUUAAGUAUCUAUUAUGUCAAUGGAGGAUUCCUGGGAAGUUGGUACUAUUAUACUAAGAGUUGCAAAUUCAUAAUGUAUAGAUCACAGUGAGAUUCUAGAAAAUAGAUUAACAUGAGAUCCCAGUAGAAUAUAAAGCAGUUAUUAACAGUAAAAAGAGAACUCAAACUCCCAAUCUAAGAACACAACGAUGUCAAUAUGGAAAGUUCAAUUUCAAACAACUAUUUAACAGGCAAGUAGGUCAAUAUUUUGCGAAAACAACAAGAAAAUCAUACAAAUCAAUUGGUGAAGCAGUCUUACAACCAGUGCAAUAGUUAUACGACCAGUGCAACAGUCAUACAACAAGUUAUACAAAUGCUACAAUUGGUUCAGACCAUAUCAACAGUGACAAAGAUGGAAGAUGAUGAACAAAAAAAGAUGUUACUUUCUUUUCUUACCCAAAGUAUCUGGGGAACACAUAUUUAUGUGUUUAAUUGAGGAAUAGGAGUAUGAGAGUUUCUUCGAUCCUAAUUUAUCUUGAACAAAUUGAAUUAGUGAACAUAAAAUUUGAAGAAUACAUAUGGAUGGUAGUAUUACAUAUCACAAGCCGUUGAAGAAAUUUCGAUCGGAAAGAGGGAACCAAAUUUGAUUUCUUGAGAAAAUUUUCUGGAGCUUCUCAGGAGUAUGAGAUCCAGAUAAGGCAUUAGGAUAUUUAUUGAUGAAUAUCAUAUGAAAAAAACUGAUGGGGAAACUGCAAUAAAAGCUGAUGGAGAAGGUGAU